UUUGCCUUACGGGCCUUGCAUACAAUCAUAAAGUCCUUUUUAGAAUAAAGAAAACCCUAAAAGGAUAAGGUUAGGCCGUACGGUCUGACACCCGUACGGUUGUCGGUACAAUGUAACAGAACGAUCUUGACGCGUGGCAAUCUUGUAACUGAUUAACCGGACUAACGGCCACGAUCAACUCGGCCAUGGAGAAAUCGGACUAACGGCUACAAUCAACUCGGUCAUGGAGAAACCGUACUAACGGCCACGAUCAACUCGGUCAUGGAGAAACUGGACUGGCUGUGAUGCGGAGUUCACCCCGGAGAUACCGGACCAAACAGAUUUGCUUCACUUUUCUCAGAUCAGCCGCAGCCGGUGCAAUUCCACCAAUCCAAAGGAAAGACUCGACAUUAACCGUCAUGCACUAAAGGUGACUCGCGAGACAAUGGAUGCUCACAGGGUUUAUGCAGAGUUGGUACGCACAGAUAUUUCAUCUGGACUUGAGAAGCGGUUAGCAGGUUUGGUCGAUGUUUUUUUUCAAUUGUUUUUAAAUUUUUGAUAUAUUUUUUAAAAAAUUUAGGUUCGGUUGAUGUGUUGGUUGUGAAUCCUCCUUAUGUUCCUACACCUGAAGACAAAGUUGGUUGUGAAGGGAUCACUUCUGCAUGGGCCGGAGGGGAGAAUGGUCGAAGUGUUAUUGAUAAAAUAUUGCCGGCUGCUGACAAUCUUUUGUCAGAGAGGGGCUGGUUAUAUAUGGUCACGCUUACUGCUAAUAAUCCCUCAGAAAUAUAUCUUGAGAUGAGAAAGAAGGGUUAUGCAUCUUGAAUUAUCCUGCGGAGAUCAACUGAAGAAGAGAUCCUUCAUAUUAUCAAAUUUUGGCGAGAUACUGAUAGCCAGUUGGAACCAAAUAAUUUAAAUUAUUGGACAAAACUGGUUAGUCUCAUUUUGCAAUUUCAUUGACUGUUCGUUAGAGGACAUGUCAACGGCUAUUACCGAUAUUACAGAAAGAGGAGGAAGUUCAUCGGCUGGAUGUGGUGAUUUUUUCCUAGCUGGGGAGGGUUUGUAUUCUAUAUUCGAAGGAUCCUCAUCUUGAGAAUUUGACACAAAAGUUUGAGUUGAAGAACACAACAGAAGAGAAAGGGAUUCGAUACUAACAAAGACAAAGAGUGUUCUGAUUACAAAGAAAGGUUAUCAAAUGCAAAAAGGCCAUCAGAUGCAAAUCCCAUUUAUUCACAUUGGGCUUCUUCAACUCGGGCCCAAUUUAAGCAUUUGGACAAAGGUGCAGCCCGUGUACAAAUUCAAGAUGAAUCUGAGCCCAACAAAGCUGUGGACAGAUCUGAGCCAUUGAAAGUUGACAAAACAAAUCUGGCCAUACAGCUUGGUGAAAAUGACACCUGUGCACACCUGUUCAAAAUCAGAAAAUCCUAUCAGUGUAAAGAAUAAAAGUUUGUUAGGGAAUUAGCUAAUAGAAGAUAGACAAAUAUGUACAGGAUUGAUUGUUUUCUUUAUUUAUUUUAAAUACAUAGGCUUGUAUAUAUAGGGGUACUCUCCAUUGAUGAAAUACACAAGAAAUUUCUCAAAUCUACUGUUUCAUUAAAAUCUUAUACCUCAAACAAGCUGACUCCCGCUCUCAACUUUAUCAAGUACCUUUAAUGAUUCUUAAAGAUGUAAUUCCUCAAUUCUAUACACAAUUUUUGAAUAAUUUGCUUUCGUAAUCUGCACCGUUCUGGACUUCUGGCAACAAGCUUGUGUAAUAUCUUCCAGUGAUACUAGAACCGGUUAAUGAAUAUGUUUGGAUGGAUAUUACCUGGAUAUUGAUUGGUUAGGUUUCUUGUUAAUUUACUUGUUUUGUUACUGCAAUUUAAGCAUUUCAUUGCUAAAUAUGAAUAAACUUGUGUAGGUGAAAGUUUCUAGCCCUUUGAAAAGGUUCCCUCUCUACUAAUCAAGUAUUUCAGGCUGAACAAUAGCAAGAGUUACAGCGAAAAAAAUGUUUAACGUAGGUGCCAAAGCAAUGUGUUGACAAUUUGUAGCCAGUAAACAAAAAGCUUUUGGGAAUAAGGUUGAAAUGUAACUUCACAGCAUGAUUUUUGGUUUUGCACCUUACUACCUUGUGGCACUACCCUACAUUUUUCAGAAAGAACUGUCAUUGGCUCCUUCCUAUACUAAUGUAGCAAUAUUGUUGAAAAGUUGCAUUUGGACAUUCUUUGAACUGCUGCAGUUAAUCAAUCUUGAGAAGAGGUCCCGUUUGCAAUUUUUAUUGUAUAUUUGUAUUUUAUGUAUAGACUCAAUGCCAUCCUUUAAUUGCAUUACCCUUAUUCCUAUGUGAACAUAUGUUUUUGGAUAAUGUUGUCACUUCCUUUUCCAAAAGCCUGGCUAAGGUCUGUCCGAAAACGUUUAGUCUUGAUCAACUUCCACAUACUCUUCUGGUUUCAACUUCAGAUAUACUUUCUUUCAAUUACCUGAUUUUGUUCUUCUAGUAAGUUCUCAAGGGACAAGUUGAAACAAAUAGACAACCAUUGCUACUCUGUGACCAAUAUGAAACAUUUUCUUCUUUAUACUCUAAGUAGAAGAAAUGGUCAACAUAUGGAGUUGGAGCUUGGAAAAAUUAGAGGCUAAAAUGCAUGGAAACAAAGCAGCCUUGGUUUCAGAAUAUAGCGAUCACGAACCUCGAAGUUGUUUGAGGCAGGAAAAAACUCAUAUUAAGCACUGCUCUUCAUGCAAUUGAUUCAAGAAGGUGUGCUAGUUGACUCAAUUAAAUGGGAGAAGUUAAUUUUCUGUAGCAUAGAUUUAUCAGCAGUGUCAUCUUUCUCUUCUAAGGGGGGAGAUAAGGAGUAGAGGGUCGUUCUGCGCGAGAUAAGUCUUUAGUUUCACUUUUUAAUUU